GACAGCGUGUCCGAGUGGUUAAGGAGUAUGACUCGAAAUCAUAUGCUUUCGAGCGCACAGGUUCGAGUCCUGUCGCUGUCG
rnacentral:tRNA from 1 species